rnacentral:lncRNA from 1 species
CUCUGCCCUCACGCCUGCAUCCAUGCCCAAGCGUGAGUGUGGGGUGCGCACGUGUGUGGUGUGAGUGUGCGUGUGCACGUCUGUGUGCACUCCUGUGUGUACGCGAUGCGUGUGCGCACACCCAUGUGCACACACACACACACGUGUUGCACACAGAGGCACCUGCUAACACACACAUUCCCCCUCCAGAUUCAGCAGUGACUGAGGCCCUGGGGGCGGGGAGAGCCAGGUGAGCUGGGGCCCAGUCACACCUGAGCGGCGCCCCCACCACUAACUCUCCGGCCCCCACUGUGGCAGAGCUAAGGCUCUCCGAUCAGACUGGGACACGGCUACGGCCACGGGCAGAGGCCCGGGAAUCCAGCUCUGUGUCCGCUGCUCCGUACGACGUCAGAGCUCGGGCCAGAGCCCCCUUUACAGGACAUGACCUCAAGGAACACAGGCAGCAGAGCAGUAGGGUGAUGACUCUUGGGGCCCCGGCUGGGCUCUGAGCUGGCCCCACCCGGCAGAAGGUACUAGGUGCCCCCACCACUGGUCUGACAUCAGCAUCACCCCGGCCCCCCAGAAGCCACCUAAACCAUCAGCACC